rnacentral:piRNA from 1 species
UGGCAGAACAGCUUCUAGCAGUCGAG